rnacentral:rRNA from 1 species
CCUACGGGCGGCAGCAGUAGGGAAUCUUCCACAAUGGGCGAAAGCCUGAUGGAGCAACGCCGCGUGGGUGAAGAAGGUCUUCGGAUCGUAAAACCCUGUUGUCAGAGAAGAAAGUGCGUGAGAGUAACUGUUCACGUUUCGACGGUAUCUUACCAGAAAGCCACGGCUAACUACGUGCCAGCAGCCGCGGUAAUACGUAGGUGGCAAGCGUUAUCCGGAUUUAUUGGGCGUAAGGGGAACGCAGGCGGUUUUGUAAGUCUGAUGUGAAAGCUCUCGGCUUAACCGGAGUAGUGCAUUGGAAACUGGGAAACUUGAGUGCAGAAGAGGAGAGUGGAACUCCAAGUGUAGCGGUGAAAUGCGUAGAUAUAUGGAGGAACACCAGUGGCGAAAGCGGCUCUCUGGUCUGUAACUGACGCUGAGGUUCGAAAGCGUGGGUAGCAAACAGGAUUAGAUACCCGGGUAGUC